UACGGGGGGAGCAAGCGUUGUUCGGAUUUACUGGGCGUAAAGGGCGCGUAGGCGGCCAGCACAAGUCAGUUGUGAAAUCUCCGAGCUUAACUCGGAAAGGUCAACUGAUACUGUGCGGCUGGAGUGCGGAAGGGGCAACUGGAAUUCUUGGUGUAGCGGUGAAAUGCGUAGAUAUCAAGAGGAACACCUGCGGCGAAGGCGGAUUGCUGGGCCGACACUGACGCUGAUGCGCGAAAGCUAGGGGAGCGAACGGG
rnacentral:rRNA from 1 species